rnacentral:misc_RNA from 1 species
GAUGAAGAACGCAGCGAAAUGCGGUAAGUAAUGUGAAUUGCAGAAUUCAGUGAAUCAUCGAAUCUUUGAACGCACAUUGCGCCCGCCAGUAUUCUGGCGGGCAUGCCUGUCUGAGCGUCAUUUCAACCCUCAUGCCCCUAGGGCGUGGUGUUGGGGAUCGGCCAAAGCCCGCGAGGGACGGCCGGCCCCUAAAUCUAGUGGCGGACCCGUCGUGGCCUCCUCUGCGAAGUAGUGAUAUUCCGCAUCGGAGAGCGAUGAGCCCCUGCCGUUAAACCCCCAACUUUCCAAGGUUGACCUCAGAUCAGGUAGGAAUACCCGCUGAACUUAAGCAUAUCAAUAAGCGGAGGA